rnacentral:rRNA from 1 species
UACGGAGGGGACUAGCGUUGUUCGGAAUUACUGGGCGUAAAGCGCACGUAGGCGGAUUUGUAAGUCAGGGGUGAAAUCCCGGGGCUCAACCUCGGAACUGCCUUUGAUACUGCAAAUCUCGAGUCCGGAAGAGGUGAGUGGAAUUCCUAGUGUAGAGGUGAAAUUCGUAGAUAUUCGCAAGAACACCAGUGGCGAAGGCGGCUCACUGGCCCAUUACUGACGCUGAGGCACGAAAGCGUGGGGAGCAAACAGG